rnacentral:tRNA from 1 species
GGAAGUGUGCCCGAAAAAUAAGGACCUCUUUGAUAGAGAGGAUUAUAGGGGUUUAAAUCCCCUCACUUCC